AUGUAUUUGACAGAUCUAUUAGUGAGCCUCGGUAGUGUAAGAACCCGGGGCGUAACAGAUUAAUUGGUAUUAGAGUUUAAAGAUAGGUCAUUGGGACCUAGAAAACCGUAGGCUUUUGUCAGACCAUAGGAAAGGAAGACAUGAGAGACGUGACUAACUGUGAAAAUCGGCGAUUGAGUGGUUGAAAAUCUUUCGGGAGUAUGGAGAGUGAUCGAAGGAGAUGUGU
rnacentral:lncRNA from 1 species